UCUUGUAGCUGGUUCCCUCACAAUAACUGGGGCCUGGAGUUCAAUCUCUUCUAUUAAAGCGAAUGAUUAGAUGCAUUGGGGCCGAUACAAUCGUAACCUAUUCUCAAAUAUUCAAUGGUCGAAAGUCGCCCUUGCUUCGGUUAACCAGGACGAUGAAGGAGAGUACCCAGCGGGCCUCUUUUGGUACGCGGGACUGGCGCCUCGGAAUGAACCAAACGCUGGGUUACGGUGCCUGAUGCGAGACGCUCCUGAGAUCCUACGUAAGGUGUUGGUUGCUCUUGAAAAUAGGAUGGUGUCCAUGGAAGUAGGAAUUCUCUAAGAGUAUUAUAACUGAUCUGAUGAGGCAAUUAGCUCUAAAAAUGGAUGGUACAUCUAUUUGACUACGGGACUUAGGAUGGCAGGGAGAAAGAGGGUCGCGACCGAGAGUGUCGAAGGCACAGGAACAAUAUUUUCUGGAGACUCCGUUGGUACAGACCUUGGGAGUUGUAGCAAAUACUCAAAUGAGAACCUUGAUGAUGGAAAAGGGUUCCAUGUGAACAGAUAUUGAACAUGGGUGAUCCGACUCUAAGGGAUCGCAGAGAUCUGUUACAAAAACGAGACCUUAACGAUUCCUGAAUUUGUAUCGAUGCCGAACAAAAAAGAAUCGCUUUAAGAGUCCUAGAAUGUAGAUUAGGGCUCCGACCCGAUCGCGGUAACGCAAACUGAGGCAUCUGUCAAGGAACCGGGAAAGAGGGUUUUUCAUAAGAGAUAAAAACAUGAUCUCAAAGAAACAACUCGUUUCACGAGAGUGUCCAUGACCCCUCUACCGGCCCUUGCAAAUCUGAGAGAUAGAGUGUUAUUUUCGGGCCAAUCCGUAUCCAUAACCUCAGAAUAUCUCUAAGGGGAACUACCUCUAGUCGAUAAAAUGAUGUACGUAAGCAAAGCCGGCAAGUUCGAUCCGUCACUUCAGGAUAAGGAUUGGUUCAGAGGGCUGAGGAGGG